UACGUAGGGUGCAAGCGUUGUCCGGAAUUAUUGGGCGUAAAGAGCUCGUAGGCGGUCUGUCGCGUCUGCUGUGAAAAUCCAGGGCUCAACCCUGGACCUGCAGUGGGUACGGGCAGACUAGAGUGCGGUAGGGGAGAUCGGAAUUCCUGGUGUAGCGGUGAAAUGCGCAGAUAUCAGGAGGAACACCGGUGGCGAAGGCGGGUCUCUGGGCCGUAACUGACGCUGAGGAGCGAAAGCGUGGGGAGCGAACAGG
rnacentral:rRNA from 1 species